CCUACGGGGGGCAGCAGUGAGGAAUAUUGGUCAAUGGACGGGAGUCUGAACCAGCCAAGCCGCGUGAAGGAAGACGGUACUGUGAGUCGUAAACCUCUUUUGUACGGGAGCAAAGGUGGGUACGUGUAUUCAGAUGAGUGUACCUGAAGAAUAAGGAUCGGCUAACUCCGUGCCAGCAGCCGCGGUAAUACGGAGGAUCUGAGCGUUAUCCGGAUUUAUUGGGUUUAACGGGUGCGCAGGCGGUCUGUUAAGUCAGCGGUAAAAGGUCGGGGCUCAACCCCGUCGAGCCGUUGAAACUGGCAGUCUUGAGUGGGAGAGAAGUAUGCGGAAUGCGCGGUGUAGCGGUGAAAUGCAUAGAUAUCACGCAGAACGCCGAUUGCGAAGGCAGCAUGCCGGCGCCCAACUGACGCUGAGGCACGAAAGCGUGGGUAUCGAACAGGAUUAGAUACCCUUGUAGUC
rnacentral:rRNA from 1 species